rnacentral:rRNA from 1 species
GGUAAAGCUGUGCCAGCGGCGGGGGUAAUACAGGGGGGGGGAGCGUUAAUCGGAAUGACGGGGCUUAAAGCGCACGUAGGCGGCUUGUGAAGUUGGAUGGUAAAGCCCCGGGCUUAACUUGGGAAUUGCAUGCAGGACUGGCGUGCUAGAGUGUGGGAGAGGGAAGCAGAAUUCCAGGUGGAGCGGUGAAAUGCGUAGAUAUCUGGAGGAACAUCAGUGGCGAAGGCGGCUUUCUGGCCCAACACUGACGCUGAUGUGCGAAAGCGUGGGGAGCAAACAGGAUUAGAUACCCCGGUAGUC